GAAUAUUGCACAAUGGGGGAAACCCUGAUGCAGCAACGCCGCGUGAGCGAUGAAGGCCUUCAGGUCGUAAAGCUCUGUCCUAAGGGAAGAAUAAUGACGGUACCUUAGGAGGAAGCCCCGGCUAACUACGUGCCAGCAGCCGCGGUAAUACGUAGGGGGCAAGCGUUAUCCGGAAUCACUGGGCGUAAAGGGUGCGUAGGCGGCCGAUAAAGUCUGGGGUGAAAGGCUACGGCUUAACCGUAGUAAGCCUUGGAAACUUAUUGGCUUGAGUGCAGGAGAGGUAAGUGGAAUUCCUAGUGUAGCGGUGAAAUGCGUAGAUAUUAGGAGGAACACCAGUGGCGAAGGCGACUUACUGGACUGUAACUGACGCUGAGGCACGAAAGCGUGGGGAGCGAACAG
rnacentral:rRNA from 1 species